rnacentral:rRNA from 1 species
AGGACGAACGCUGGCGGCGUGCCUAACACAUGCAAGUCGAACGGAACGUAAUUUGUACGGAUUCUUCGGAUGACGGAUGUUAGUUAGUGGCGGACGGGUGAGUAACGCGUGAGUAACCCGCCUCUGAGAGGGGAAGUAACGUUACUGAAAAGAAACGCUAAUACCGCAUAACAUUGCGAGGUCGCAUGGCCAUGCAAUCAAAGAUUUUAUCGCUCGGAGAUGGACUCGCGUCCGAUUAGUUAGUUGGUGAGGUAACGGCUCACCAAGACCGCGAUCGGUAGCCGGACUGAGAGGUUGAUCGGCCACAUUGGGACUGAGACACGGCCCAGACUCCUACGGGAGGCAGCAGUGGGGGAUAUUGCGCAAUGGGGGCAACCCUGAACCGCAGCAACGCCGCGUGAAGGAUGAAGGUUUUCGGAUUGUAAACUUCUUUUAUCAGGGACGAAAUCUGACGGUACCUGAUGAAUAAGCUCCGGCUAACUACGUGCCAGCAGCCGC